UUUCCUUUUAGUACGGCGAGUGACCGGGAAAGCUCAAAUUUGUAAUCUGGCUGUCUUCGAUAGAUCCGAGUUGUAAUCUAUAGACGUGUUUUCCGUGCUGGACCGUAUCUAAGUCCCUUGGAACAGGGUAUCAAAGAGGGUGACAAUCCCGUGCUUGAUACGACCACCAGUGCUCUGUGAUACACGCUCUACGAGUCGAGUUGUUUGGGAAUGCAGCUCAAAAUGGGUGGUAAAUUCCAUCUAAAGCUAAAUAUUGGCGAGAGACCGAUAGCGAACAAGUACCGUGAGGGAAAGAUGAAAAGCACUUUGGAAAGAGAGUUAAACAGUACGUGAAAUUGUUGAAAGGGAAACGAUUGAAGUCAGUCGUGUUCUUUGGAUUCAGCUAGUUCUUCUAGUCUACUUCCAUUGAACGGGUCAACAUCAGUUU
rnacentral:rRNA from 1 species